AUUGAACGCUGGCGGCAUGCCUUACACAUGCAAGUCGAACGGCAGCACGGGAGCAAUCCUGGUGGCGAGUGGCGAACGGGUGAGUAAUACAUCGGAACGUGCCCAAUCGUGGGGGAUAACGCAGCGAAAGCUGUGCUAAUACCGCAUACGAUCUACGGAUGAAAGCAGGGGAUCGCAAGACCUUGCGCGAAUGGAGCGGCCGAUGGCAGAUUAGGUAGUUGGUGAGGUAAAGGCUCACCAAGCCGUCGAUCUGUAGCUGGUCUGAGAGGACGACCAGCCACACUGGGACUGAGACACGGCCCAGACUCCUACGGGAGGCAGCAGUGGGGAAUUUUGGACAAUGGGCGAAAGCCUGAUCCAGCCAUGCCGCGUGCAGGAUGAGGGCCUUCGGGUUGUAAACUGCUUUUGUACGGAACGAAACGGCCUUUUCUAAUAAAGAGGGCUAAUGACGGUACCGUAAGAAUAAGCACCGGCUAACUACGUGCCAGCAGCCGCGGUAAUACGUAGGGUGCAAGCGUUAAUCGGAAUUACUGGGCGUAAAGCGUGCGCAGGCGGUUAUGUAAGACAGUUGUGAAAUCCCCGGGCUCAACCUGGGAACUGCAUCUGUGACUGCAUAGCUAGAGUACGGUAGAGGGGGAUGGAAUUCCGCGUGUAGCAGUGAAAUGCGUAGAUAUGCGGAGGAACACCGAUGGCGAAGGCAAUCCCCUGGACCUGUACUGACGCUCAUGCACGAAAGCGUGGGGAGCAAACAGG
rnacentral:rRNA from 1 species